GUAACUGCCAUCCACUACUAUAUACUUCCCAGUAACCAAAGAAUCUCACAAUUCAUAAGCCGCAGGCUACUUAACUUUUCUCUGAUGCUGGACAAUUAAACCCUGUUUCAGCCAUCAAAAUAGUGUAACAGCCAGGGAUAUCAAAGGACUAUUCAAGGGAAAUCAUUUUGAAUACUUAUCAACAAGCGCCUUAGCGUUCUCUGGUGCAAAGAAUCUCGCUUGUAUAAACAUCCGCUCAGCAUCACCAACAUUUCCGUUCUCUUUCAAAAUGAUACCCUUCGCUAAGUAACCCCUAAAGUCGUCAGGAUAGGUAGAAAUGAGUUGAUUAUAUACAGACACGGCAUCACUGAUAUGGCCCCAUUCUGAGUAUGCUUUUCCCAGAAGCAGGUCAACUUGAAUUGGGUCUACCUCUGACUUUGAUUUCGCUGCACUGUUCUUGGUUCCAUCACUGCUACCACUAGUUUUUUCUUCUUUCAGACUUUUGCGUGAUGCCAAAAGCAUUUGAACAGCCUCAUCUGGCUUCCUCGCGGCAAUUAGUGCAUUUGUAAGGCCACGUUGAACUUCAAAAUCAAUAGUUCCGGAUACCAUGGCAGACAUUCUAAAAGCAGCAGCACUCCCUUCAUAAUCCAUCAGUCCAUAUUUGACUUCUCCAAGCAAACGGUAAACAUCUGGGUCACUUGGUUUUUUCUUAAUCAAUUCUUCAAGAAGGGAAGAGGCUCGAUUGUACUCCCCCAGUUCUGAUAAGGUCACAGCAGCUCCUUCAAGCGAGAUGGGAUCCUCUGGUGAUGAAGCCAGUGUAGCCUCAAAUUGCUGAAGCGUCUUCAGGAGGUUAGCUCUCUCAUCUUCAGCAAUUCUCUUACCCUUGCUGGCAAUCUCCUCAGUGGGACUAACACUUCCAGAGGGAAGAAAGUCACCAAGUGCAAACAAGAGUCCAAAUACAAUAACAGCCGCUCCAACUCCAAUCUUGGUACCCAGUCCGAUUGUAGUACUUCUGGACUCAACCGGAGCAUCAUAGUCAAUUGCUCCAUAUGCUUUCUCUUCCUCUGUUUUUUUCUGCUGAAGCGCCGACCUUUUUACUACAUCCAACCGUUCCUCAAACUGAAGAUCUGACCCCACACUUUUUGACUUUCUGACAUCAUUCGUAGAGUUCAAACGAGGUGCCUGAUUAAGGAGGUCGUCUGACUGUCGGGUAGAUGAAUUCCUUUGCGGCCGCACUGUGCCCUUGGCCUGCCUUCUGGCGGUUGCAGAAUUCUUACCCUGAAUUUAAGUAGCAAGAAGAGUAUCGAAAUUAUCCAUUACAAAAUUAAAAGGGUGAAGCAAUACCUUGUUAGUGUUGCCAUCACUCGGACCGAAACCACGACUUGAAUUUGAAUCAGUAGAGCAGCAUAUACAAUUCAGAACCCCAUACUUGGACUUGGUAUGGUACUGAAACUGGAACUGAUGAUUGCUCUGGCUUUUACCACUAGGGAAAGAGAAUGUUCGACUAUAAAUACUGCAAGACUUAGGAGCAAACAACACUUGCGGCUGCUGAACAACAGUAAAGUG
rnacentral:misc_RNA from 1 species